UUUUUAUUUACUUAUCAUUAUCACUUUGUUCAUGCUCUGUUCUCACUUCACAGCUUCAAACUAGGAACAUUUUAAAACUUGCAGGUGUCCUUAAAAAUUACACACUAUUGAGAAAGCUUAUGGCUUUUAAGCAUUUACACUAGUGGUUCCAGUGAAACCUGCUGUAAUUGAUCGAUCAGUUGCACAUUCACAGCUUGUUUAAGCUGAAAUUCUAUUUCCAUGAUACAUUUUUCUGCAAAGGACUUUCUGCAAAAUCCCUUCUGGAGCUGGUUUCCUUUAUUCCCGUGGGACGUGCUGCAGUGCCAGAGGAAGGAGCACCGCGCCUGUCCCUGCACGGUCCCCACCUCUUCCCUUUCGCUCCCUGAUGCUGCCUUCCAAGCCUUUCUUGGCCUGGCUGUCAUUACAGCACCCCAAAAAGAGCGUGUGUUUAAUAACACUUCCAACAACUUCUGGAAAGGAGCCUCCGAGUUAUUGGACCUGUGAGAAGGCAAUAAUCGACAACGAACAAGUUGGUGGGCUGUACACAUCUGUGUACUCUGCCUUGGAAAAUAAAGGCUGUUGCCAUGGCAACUGCCACAAGCUGGGCCCGUACAUUAGUUAUGGUGAGACUGGGGCGUUGAGUGCAGGCCCCGGCCCCGCCUGUGUGCUGGGCCUGCGCUGUGCCCAGGGGCCAGGCCUGACCGCUGGCGCUGUGCGGCCGCAGCGGCCUUGUCUCACCUGGGGAGCAAAUAAAAAAAAGUGUGAGAGUACCCCCGUAAACGAGCAGCCCAGCUGUAAAACAAACUGUGCAGAAAUUGCAACCGAGCUGAUGAUGAUCUUGGGAUCUUCUUACCAGAAGUUAUUAAUGAGCAGGUCACGUUGGCCUGAGAGGCGAUGCUGGUGGGGGAGCAUGAGGAGCGAUAGGAGGAACUGCAGGGCUCUUUCCAGGCGCACACACCAAAAACCCUACUACAGGAAUAGAAGAAUACAUUAAAAUCACACCGUACAAGCAGCUUAUACUUUAGCGUGACCCUUUCAAACAUGCAGGCUGCUGUGAUGCAUGCUGUGAGCAGCUCUUGUUUGGCAGGGGUGGUGGUGGGGCUGGCUGGGUGCUGCCCCGGAGCUGGGCUUUGGGAUGCUGUGCUGCAAGCAGGAGUGUGGAGCAGCCCCCUCGGGAGGUGCAGGAGGGGCGAAUGCAUCAGUACGUGGGAAGCUGGUGGCCAGGGGUUUCUAAUCCACUGUGGUUUGAACAGAAGAGACUGCAGCUGCAGCUUGUAAGGAAUUAUACAAACACAGAGCGGCAUAAAAUUGUUGCUGGCUGAGCUUGAAUGUGUCUUGUAAUACGUAAGGCUUUAAAUAACUCUGAAAAUAAGAAAGGAGCAGGAAUUUGACUUUCCUAGUUAGCAACAUUCUCAGAUAUAUGCUGGGAGGAGUAGAGGAACUUAUGUGUGGAUAUGGUAAAUGCAAUAACAAAAUCAUAGAAUGGUUUGGGUUGGAAGGGACCUUAAAGACGAUCUAAUUCCUUCCCCCCCUGCCUUGGGCAGGGAUGCCUCCCACUAGAUAGAUAUUGCAUGCUGCAAAGAGGGAGCUGAUCAAUAGGAGGAAACGCCGUGGCUUGGGUGCCUAUCCUGUGAGCCAUGCAGAACGUGAAAAUGGAGGGCCAUUUAUUCUUUUAUUAUAACAAGAAAAAUGUUACGUGUAUAGCAGUAGCACCUGCAACACCAAGCUGAGAAAAAUAGAGACAUGAGAGUGUCUUACCCAAAUACCAACUGUUAAAUCAAAAUGGAGGGAAGUCUUAGGAAGGGAAACAGACUGAGGGGUCCUGUACUGUUUAUGCUGGCUGCUGGCAAUUCUCCUGCAGGUGUGACCUGGCCUCAACUACAAACCCUCCAGCACAGGUGCUGAGCGUUGCACCACUGUGACAGAACUGGGCUCACUUAAAUUGCAGGAGAGGAGAAGUGACGUUUUAGCAGAAGAAUUGAGUGGGAAGAGAU
ensembl:lncRNA